rnacentral:rRNA from 1 species
GCGUAAAGCGUGCGCAGGCGGUUUUGCAAGUCAGAUGUGAAAUCCCCGGGCUCAACCUGGGAAUUGCAUUGAGGACUGUGGAGCUAGAGUGCGGCAGAGGGAGGUGGAAUUCCACGUGUAGCAGUGAAAUGCGUAGAGAUGUGGAGGAACACCGAUGGCGAAGGCAGCCUCCUGGGCCGACACUGACGCUCAUGCACGAAAGCGUGGGGAGCAAACAGG